rnacentral:rRNA from 1 species
GGAGAGUUUGAUCCUGGCUCAGGAUGAACGCUGGCGGCGUGCCUAAUACAUGCAAGUCGAGCGAACGGACGAGAAGCUUGCUUCUCUGAUGUUAGCGGCGGAUGGGUGAGUAACACGUGGAUAACCUACCUAUAAGACUGGGAUAACUUCGGGAAACCGGAGCUAAUACCGGAUAAUAUUUUGAACCGCAUGGUUCAAAAGUAAAAGACGGUCUUGCUGUCACUUAUAGAUGGAUCCGCGCUGCAUUAGCUAGUUGGUAAGGUAACGGCUUACCAAGGCAACGAUGCAUAGCCGACCUGAGAGGG